AACGAACGCUGGCGGCGUGCCUAACACAUGCAAGUCGAACGGAUUGAAGGGGCUUGCUCCUUCAGUUAGUGGCGCACGGGUGAGUAACGCGUAGAUAAUCUGCCUGAUGAUCUGGGAUAACAGUUCGAAAGGACUGCUAAUACCGGAUAAGCCCACGUGGUCUUUGGACCGUGCGGGAAAAGGGGGGGACCUUCGGGCCUUCUGUCAUCAGAUGAGUCUGCGUACCAUUAGCUAGUUGGUAGGGUAAUGGCCUACCAAGGCUACGAUGGUUAGCUGGUUUGAGAGAAUGAUCAGCCACACUGGAACUGGGACACGGUCCAGACUCCUACGGGAGGCAGCAGUGGGGAAUUUUGCGCAAUGGGCGAAAGCCUGACGCAGCAACGCCGCGUGAGUGAUGAAGGCUUUCGGGUCGUAAAGCUCUGUCGAGGGGAAGGAAGUGUAUUGUGGUUAAUACCCGCGAUACUUGACGGUACCCCUAAAGGAAGCACCGGCUAACUCCGUGCCAGCCGCCGCGGUAAUAC
rnacentral:rRNA from 1 species